rnacentral:rRNA from 1 species
GACAGACAGUUACCAUGCCCUUUCGAAAGGAGUCAGGUUUUAAACCUAAUGGCUCUUUCAUGAUUAUAUGAUAGGUGGUGCAUGGCCGUUCUUAGUUCGUGGAGUGAUCUGUCUGCUUAAUUGCGUUUCAAAUUUUUAUUUGAGGACCAGGUUUUGGUUUGGGUAGUGGUCCUACGAUGACUGUGAACUGUCAUGUCUUCGGAUGUGCGACUAUCGGUCUAGGAUCGCAUCUCAGCCCCUGGGACUCUUUUGAACGCAACGGACGUGAUUGCAACCCCUUGUUGAGAUUAGAGGAGUCUCGAUAUUCAUUGGCCAAACUUACCGCUUCGAGCUUGCUCGUGCAGUUUUGUUAGCCGGUGGAUAAACUCGGGGGACUGCUGACUAUAACCAUUUCUCAAAACAGAGGAAGGUUGCGGCAAUAACAGGUCUGUGAUGCCCUCAGAU